AUGGCCUGGUCCCCUCUCCUCACCCUCAUCGCUCUCUACACAGCAUCCUGGGCCCAGUGUGUGACUCAGCCCGCCUCAGUGUCUGGGACCCUGGGCUCGACAGUCACCAUCUCCUGCUCUGGAAGCAGCAGCAACAUUGGUGGUUAUGGUGUUGGCUGGUUCCAACAGAUCCAAGGAAAAGCCCCCAAAACCAUCAUCUCUGCUAAUAACAAACAACCCUCAGGGAUCCCAGAUCGAUUUUCUGGCUCCAAGUCUGGCAACACAACCACCCUGACCAUCUCUGGGCUCCAGGCUGACGACGAGGCCGAUUAUUACUGUGGUACCUAUGACAGCAGCCUGAGUAAUGACACAGUGCUGCAUGCCUGUGGGGAA